CCUACGGGAGGCAGCAGUGGGGAAUUUUGGACAAUGGGCGCAAGCCUGAUCCAGCCAUGCCGCGUGAGUGAAGAAGGCCUUCGGGUUGUAAAGCUCUUUCGGCCGGGACGAAAUCGCAUGGGUGAAUAUCCCGUGUGGAUGACGGUACCGGAAUAAGAAGCACCGGCUAACUACGUGCCAGCAGCCGCGGUAAUACGUAGGGUGCGAGCGUUAAUCGGAAUUACUGGGCGUAAAGCGUGCGCAGGCGGUUUCGUAAGCCAGAUGUGAAAUCCCCGGGCUUAACCUGGGAACUGCAUUUGGGACUGCGAGGCUAGAGUACGGCAGAGGGAGGUGGAAUUCCACGUGUAGCAGUGAAAUGCGUAGAUAUGUGGAGGAACACCGAUGGCGAAGGCAGCCUCCUGGGCUAGUACUGACGCUCAUGCACGAAAGCGUGGGGAGCAAACAGGAUUAGAUACCCUGGUAGUCCACGCCCUAAACGAUGACAACUAGUUGUUGGGGAUUUAACAUCCUUAGUAACGCAGCUAACGCGUGAAGUUGUCCGCCUGGGGAGUACGGUCGCAAGAUUAAAACUCAAAGGAAUUGACGG
rnacentral:rRNA from 1 species